GGCGCGGGCUGGGGUGGAGCUGGUCCUUACACUGAGGAGAAGCUGGUGGGUGGCGGGCAAGCGGCUGGACUUUCUCCAGUUCUGACAGAGGUGGGUUCUGUUAAUCUUCUGGAAGACACUGGCGUUCUGUUCUGAGCUGAAUGAACAUGAAUUUAUAGUCCUCGGAUGAACUAAAUUUACAUUGGUCAGCCGGGGCAAAGUGUGCUGAGACGGCUGAAGGUGGGAACAAAAUAAAUCCCCCAGUCGAGUCGGAGAGAAACUCGGGCUGGAGAGGCGCGGCACUGACUUGACUUGAGCCCAACAGAGUGACGACUCUACACAGACACCGAAAUAGGGCGCGAAACGAAGGAACAAGUGAAGACAUUCAGCAACGUGAACCGGCGCCUUUAAAUACCCACUGUAAGAGAGCUUUAAAAAUGCAGAUGUUAAAAAACGAUACCUGAACCAGA